rnacentral:lncRNA from 1 species
UGUGUUACCAUGUGAGAUCUAACUGCAGGUUGGACUAAUAGUUAAAUUGAGUCAGCCAUGGCUGUGUGCCAGCCCUGAUGGACUGUUCAAGGAUGGUGAGGAGACUGUGCUCGUCGAGAUAAAGUGCCCCUUUUCAAGAAAAGACAGCGUGCUGAUUGAUGCUGACAUUGAAAUUAGCUUCAUCAGCUAUAUCUUUUAUGAAGGUGGCAAACUAACGCUGAAGAAGCGCCACCAGUAUUACACGCAAGUGCAAAUUGCAAUGUAUGUGACGAAUACGAGCAGAUGCUUCUUUUUGUGUACACGUCUGUGCAGAGCAUUGUUAUUGUUGUACAGCGAGAUGAAGCAUUUCUUGCACAGUCUGUACCUGUUCUUGAACACUUUUAUUUCAACUUUUACAUUAAGGAACUUCUUCAUGAAUAAAGAUUGUUUAUUACGCUAGUGUAGCUGUAGAUAUUCUUGUAAAAAUAUGCAGCAAGACAGAACUGAAAGGUAGUUAAGGUGGUAUUGGUAGAUCCUGCUUCUUUAUAUGUAUUGUUUCUACUACAUAAGUCCCUAUUGAAAUAUUCUCAUAUUAUACGAGACAGCAAUACUACUCGGAAGGACUGUGUAGAGCACUUGUUUCCGGAUAGUAAGUUGCAGUGAUAAAAUUGAAGAUGCCAAAUACAAUGUGUUGGCGAAGUAUAACCAAAAAACCAGUGUAUCUGCGAGUAUCACAUUUUACAUUGACCUAACUGUGCUUUUAAUUAUAUAACUCUUGUGAUUUGUUUGCUUAAAGGUGUUUGUCAUUCAAUUACUGCAAGUUGCAAUGACUGCAUGGUUGUCUCUUUCUUUAUGUGGGGUGUACACAAUGCACAGCAUGGAUGCUUUGUAAUUUAACUAUGGUGUUUUUCCCUGCCAUCUUGUUUAUAUCACCAUAGAGUGUAGUAAGAACGCUCACAAUAUAUGAAGUUUUUCUGUUAUAUUUGUUCUCUUAGCAUGUGCUUGAUAUUAAACGCUGGAUUGUUGCUUUCGCUUGUCAAAUUUUACCCAUGGAUUUGUAAAUAAAUUUGUUGUAUUUGUAACUCA